rnacentral:tRNA from 1 species
GGCAGCGUAGCUCAGUUGGUAGAGCGCGGGAUUCAUAAGCCCAAGGUCCCCGGUUCGAGUCCGGGCGCUGCUA